rnacentral:rRNA from 1 species
CAGUCGCCGCGGGAAUACGGAGGGUGCAAGCGUUAAUCGGAAUUACUGGGCGUAAAGCGCACGCAGGCGGUCUGUCAAGUCAGAUGUGAAAUCCCCGGGCUUAACCUGGGAACUGCAUUUGAAACUGGCAGGCUAGAGUCUUGUAGAGGGGGGUAGAAUUCCAGGUGUAGCGGUGAAAUGCGUAGAGAUCUGGAGGAAUACCGGUGGCGAAGGCGGCCCCCUGGACAAAGACUGACGCUCAGGUGCGAAAGCGUGGGGAGCAAACAGGAUUAGAUACCCCUGUAGCCCUGUCUCUUAUACC